rnacentral:rRNA from 14 species
UCAUAUGCUUGUCUCAAAGAUUAAGCCAUGCAUGUGUGAGUAUAAGUGUUAUACAGCGAGACUGCGAAUGGCUCAUUACAACAGUUAUAGUUCACUUGUGAGGCGUGUAUAUGGAUAACCGUAGUAAUUCUAGAGCUAAUACAUGCUGUCAAACCCGACUUUUUGGAAGGGUUGUAUUUAUUAGAUAUUAAGCCAAUAUUCCUUGUGUCUAUUGUGGUGAAUCAUAGUAACUGAUCGAAUCCCUUUUUGUGGAUAAAUCAUUCAAGUUUCUGCCCUAUCAGCUUUCGAUGGUAGUGUAUUGGACUACCAUGGCAGUCACGGGUAACGGAGAAUUAGGGUUCGGUUCCG